UGGUUCUGGCAUCGAUGAAGAACGCAGCGAAAUGCGAUAAGUAAUGUGAAUUGCAGAAUUCAGUGAAUCAUCGAAUCUUUGAACGCACAUUGCGCCCUUUGGUAUUCCGAAGGGCAUGCCUGUUCGAGCGUCAUUACAACCCUCAAGUCUUGCUUGGUAUUAAGCCUCGCUUCUAUAGUGGGCUAUAAAAUCAGUAGCGGUGCCAUCUGGCCUCAAGCGUAGUAAAUUUUCCCUCGCUUUGGGAGUCUGUUGUGUACCUGCUAGAAACUCAUUAUUCAAAGGUUGACCUCGGAUCAGGUAGGGAUACCCGCUGA
rnacentral:misc_RNA from 1 species